AGCGAACGCUGGCGGCGUGCCUAACACAUGCAAGUCGAACGUGAAAGGGAGCAAUCCCACGUAAAGUGGCGUACGGGUGAGUAACACGUAGGUAAUCUACCCCAGAAUCUGGAAUAACCGGCCGAAAGGCUGGCUAAUACUGGAUAGAGCGACGGAAUCCGUAAUUGGGUUUUUCGGGAAAGGGAGCCUGUCACAAGGCCUUCGUUCUGGGAUGUGCCUGCGUCCCUUCAGCUAGUUGGUGAGGUAAAAGCUUACCAAGGCAAGGACGGGUAGCUGGUCGGAGAGGACGAGCAGCCACACUGGAACUGAAACACGGUCCAGACGCCUACGGGAGGCAGCAGGGGGGAAUCUUGCGCAAUGGACGAAAGUCUGACGCAGCAACGCCGCGUGAGUGAAGAAGGCCUUCGGGUUGUAAAGCUCUGUCGAGUGGGACGAAAAUGCUUGGAGUUCACAGCUCCAGGAACUGACGGUACCACUAAAGGAAGCACCGGCUAACUCCGUG
rnacentral:rRNA from 1 species